GAUGAACGCUGGCGGCGUGCCUAACACAUGCAAGUCGAACGAAGCACUUUGAAGUUUUCGGACAGAUGAGUGACUGAGUGGCGGACGGGUGAGUAACGCGUGGGUAACCUGCCUCAUACAGGGGGAUAACAGUUAGAAAUGACUGCUAAUACCGCAUAAGCGCACGGAGCUGCAUGGCUCAGUGUGAAAAACUCCGGUGGUAUGAGAUGGACCCGCGUCUGAUUAGCCUAGUUGGUGGGGUAACGGCCUACCAAGGCGACGAUCAGUAGCCGACCUGAGAGGGUGACCGGCCACAUUGGGACUGAGACACGGCCCAA
rnacentral:rRNA from 1 species